UCAGGCCUAACACAUGCAAGUCGAACGGUAACAGGUUAAGCUGACGAGUGGCGAACGGGUGAGUAAUGCAUCGGAACGUGCCCAGUAGUGGGGGAUAACUGCUCGAAAGAGCAGCUAAUACCGCAUACGACCUGAGGGUGAAAGCGGGGGACCGUAAGGCCUCGCGCUAUUGGAGCGGCCGAUGUCAGAUUAGGUAGUUGGUGGGGUAAAGGCCCACCAAGCCAACGAUCUGUAGCUGGUCUGAGAGGACGACCAGCCACACUGGGACUGAGACACGGCCCAGACUCCUACGGGAGGCAGCAGUG
rnacentral:rRNA from 1 species